rnacentral:rRNA from 1 species
GACGAACGCUGGCGGCGUGCUUAACACAUGCAAGUCGAACGGAAAGGCCCUGCUUUUGUGGGGUGCUCGAGUGGCGAACGGGUGAGUAACACGUGAGUAACCUGCCCUUGACUUUGGGAUAACUUCAGGAAACUGGGGCUAAUACCGGAUAGGAGCUCCUGCUGCAUGGUGGGGGUUGGAAAGUUUCGGCGGUUGGGGAUGGACUCGCGGCUUAUCAGCUUGUUGGUGGGGUAGUGGCUUACCAAGGCUUUGCCGGGUAGCCGGCCUGAGAGGGUGACCGGCCACAUUGGGACGGAGAUACGGCCCAGACUCCUACGGGAGGCAGCAGUGGGGAAUAUUGCACAAUGGGCGGAAGCCUGGUGCAGCAACGCCGCGUGCGGGAUGACGGCCUUCGGGUUGUAAACCGCUUUCGCCUGUGACGAAGCGUGAGUGACGGUAAUGGGUAAAGAAGCACCGGCUAACUACGUG